ACGAACGCUGGCGGCGUGCUUAACACAUGCAAGUCGAACGGAAAGGCCCCUUCGGGGGUACUCGAGUGGCGAACGGGUGAGUAACACGUGAGUAACCUGCCCUUGACUUCGGGAUAACUUCAGGAAACUGGGGCUAAUACCGGAUAGGAAUCCUUGCUGCAUGGUGGGGGUUGGAAAGCUUCGGCGGUUUUGGAUGGACUCGCGGCUUAUCAGCUUGUUGGUGGGGUAGUGGCUUACCAAGGCUUUGACGGGUAGCCGGCCUGAGAGGGCGACCGGCCACAUUGGGACUGAGAUACGGCCCAGACUCCUACGGGAGGCAGCAGUGGGGAAUAUUGCACAAUGGGUGGAAGCCUGAUGCAGCAACGCCGCGUGCGGGAUGACGGCCUUCGGGUUGUAAACCGCUUUCAGCAGGGGCGAAGCUUGUGGUGACGGUACCUGCAGAAGAAGCACCGGCUAACUACGUG
rnacentral:rRNA from 1 species